rnacentral:rRNA from 1 species
UACGGGGGGAGCAAGCGUUGUUCGGAUUUACUGGGCGUAAAGGGCGCGUAGGCGGCGCGACAAGUCACUUGUGAAAUCUCUGGGCUUAACUCAGAGCGGCCAAGUGAUACUGUCGUGCUAGAGUGCGGAAGGGGCAACUGGAAUUCUCGGUGUAGCGGUGAAAUGCGUAGAUAUCGAGAGGAACACCUGCGGCGAAGGCGGGUUGCUGGGCCGACACUGACGCUGAGGCGCGAAAGCUAGGGGAGCGAACGGG